rnacentral:rRNA from 1 species
CAGUAGCCGCGGGAAUACGAAGGGGGCUAGCGUUGCUCGGAAUUACUGGGCGUAAAGGGCGCGUAGGCGGCGCUCCAAGUUAGGCGUGAAAUUCCCGGGCUCAACCUGGGGACUGCGCUUAAGACUGGAGUGCUUGAGGAUGGAAGAGGGUUGUGGAAUUCCCAGUGUAGAGGUGAAAUUCGUAGAUAUUGGGAAGAACACCGGUGGCGAAGGCGGCAACCUGGUCCAUUACUGACGCUGAGGCGCGAUAGCGUGGGGAGCAAACAGGAUUAGAUACCCCCGUAGUCCCUGUCUCUUAUAC